UACAGGGGGGGCAAGCGUUGUUCGGAAUUACUGGGCGUAAAGGGCUCGUAGGUGGCCAACUAAGUCAGACGUGAAAUCCCUCAGCUUAACUGGGGAACUGCGUCUGAUACUGGAUGGCUUGAAUCCGGGAGAGGGGUGCAGAAUUCCAGGUGUAGCGGUGAAAUGCGUAGAUAUCUGGAGGAAUACCGGUGGCGAAGGCGGCAUCCUGGACCGGCAUUGACGCUGAGGAGCGAAAGCCAGGGGAGCAAACGGG
rnacentral:rRNA from 1 species